AUUGAACGCUGGCGGCAGGCCUAACACAUGCAAGUCGAACGAGUGGCGGACGGGUGAGUAAUGUCUGGGAAACUGCCUGAUGGAGGGGGAUAACUACUGGAAACGGUAGCUAAUACCGCAUACCAUCGGAUGUGCCCAGAUGGGAUUAGCUUGUUGGUGGGGUAACGGCUCACCAAGGCGACGAUCCCUAGCCGGUCUGAGAGGAUGACCAGCCACACUGGAACUGAGACACGGUCCAGCCUCCUACGGGAGGCAGCAGUGGGGAAUCUUGCACAAUGGGCGCAAGCCUGAUGCAGCUAUGCCGCGUGUAGGAAGAAGGCCUUCGGGUUUUAAAGUACGUUCAGCGGGGAGGCGUUACCCUCAGAAGAAGCCCCGGCUAACUCCGUGCCAGCAGCCGCGGUAAUAC
rnacentral:rRNA from 1 species